UACGUAGGGCGCAAGCGUUGUCCGGAAUUAUUGGGCGUAAAGAGCUCGUAGGCGGCUUGUCACGUCGGGUGUGAAAGCUCGGGGCUUAACCCCGGGUCUGCAUUCGAUACGGGCUGGCUGGAGUGUGGUAGGGGAGAUCGGAAUUCCUGGUGUAGCGGUGAAAUGCGUAGAUAUCUGGAGGAACACCGGUGGCGAAGGCGACAUCCUGGACCGGUAUUGACGCUGAGGCGCGAAAGCCAGGGGAGCAAACGGG
rnacentral:rRNA from 1 species